rnacentral:misc_RNA from 1 species
AACCUAGCACACCUGCGGUGUGUACCUGCGGAAGGAUCAUUAUCGAGUUACCACUCUAUAACCCUUUGUGAACAUACCUACAUGUUGCUUCGGCGGUCGGCCCCCCGGGCCCCCGGCCCCGCUCACGCGGGGCGUCCGCCGGAGGAUAACCAAACUCUGAUUUAACGACGUUUCUUCUGAGUGGCACAAGCAAAUAAUCAAAACUUUUAACAAUGGAUCU